CUACGGGUUGCUCCAGUGGGGAAUAUUGCACAAUGGAGGAAACUCUGAUGCAGCAACGCCGCGUGGAGGAUGACACUUUUCGGAGCGUAAACUCCUUUUAUAUAGGAAGAAGAUGACGGUACUAUAUGAAUAAGCGCCGGCUAACUCCGUGCCAGCAGCCGCGGUAAUACGGAGGGCGCAAGCGUUACUCGGAAUCACUGGGCGUAAAGAGCGUGUAGGCGGAUUAAAAAGUCAGAAGUGAAAUCCUAUAGCUUAACUAUAGAACUGCUUCUGAAACUCUUAAUCUAGAAUAUGGGAGAGGUAGAUGGAAUUUCUGGUGUAGGGGUAAAAUCCGUAGAGAUCAGAAGGAAUACCGAUUGCGAAGGUGAUCUACUAGAACAUUAUUGACGCUGAGACGCGAAAGCGUGGGGAGCAGACAGGAUUAGAUACCCGCGUAGUC
rnacentral:rRNA from 1 species